AUUGAACGCUAGCGGCAGGCUUAACACAUGCAAGUCGAGCGGGCGAGGUUGCUUCGGUAACUGAGCUAGCGGCGGACGGGUGAGUAAUGCUUAGGAAUCUGCCUAUUAGUGGGGGACAACAUUCCGAAAGGGAUGCUAAUACCGCAUACGUCCUACGGGAGAAAGCAGGGGCUCUUUAUGACCUUGCGCUAAUAGAUGAGCCUAAGUCGGAUUAGCUAGUUGGUGGGGUAAAGGCCUACCAAGGCGACGAUCUGUAGCGGGUCUGAGAGGAUGAUCCGCCACACUGGGACUGAGACACGGCCCAGACUCCUACGGGAGGCAGCAGUGGGGAAUAUUGGACAAUGGGGGGAACCCUGAUCCAGCCAUGCCGCGUGUGUGAAGAAGGCCUUUUGGUUGUAAAGCACUUUAAGUGGGGAGGAGGCUUACCUGGUUAAUACCUGGGCUAAGUGGACGUUACCCACAGAAUAAGCACCGGUUAACUUCGUGCCAGCAGCCGCCGUAA
rnacentral:rRNA from 1 species